CGACCCCAGGUCAGGCGGGA
rnacentral:ncRNA from 7 species